rnacentral:lncRNA from 1 species
UUGGUACAUUGAGUCGGGGAUCAAUGUUUACCGGAAAGACUGGCACAUCUUAUGUAUGCUCGAUGCAGAGGAUGAUUGAUCUCACAAUCACUUGUGUGGAGACACUAAUACAAAGAUGUGGGUGCUCAUUAGAGAAAUGAGUUCACUGAAUUGACCUACAAAGAGAAAUCUUAUGAAGUCUUACUUACAUGUCAAAAGAUGAUUCUCUUAGUGGGAGUUCAUCAACUGAUCCUUUGACCUGAGAUCACCAUAGUAUCUUGUGCACAUAAAUUCAUAUUUUGGUUUCUACUCAUUCAUGACAAUAAGUUAUGUACGAGGUCUUCUGGAUAUGGUGGAUUGUGUACGAAGGUUAUGAGU